GACGUAGGAGGCGAGCGUUGUCCGGAUUCAUUGGGCGUAAAGAGCGCGCAGGCGGUUUGGCAAGUCGGACGUGAAAAUCCGGGGCUCAACCCCGGACCUGCAUCCGAAACUGCCCGACUAGAGGUAGGUAGGGGAGAUCGGAAUUCCUGGUGUAGCGGUGAAAUGCGCAGAUAUCAGGAGGAACACCGGUGGCGAAGGCGGAUCUCUGGGCCUUACCUGACGCUCAGGUGCGAAAGCUAGGGGAGCGAACAGG
rnacentral:rRNA from 1 species